GACGAACGCUGGCGGCGUGCUUAACACAUGCAAGUCGAACGGUGAAGCGCCUUCCUUUUUGGUGGGUGUGGAUGAGUGGCGAACGGGUGAGUAACACGUGAGUAACCUGCCCCCUUCUUCUGGAUAACCGCAUGAAAGUGUGGCUAAUACGGGAUAUUCUGGGUCUGUCGCAUGAUGGGUCUGGGACAGAUAUUGUUUCGGUGGUGGAUGGGCUCGCGGCCUAUCAGCUUGUUGGUGGGGUGAUGGCCUACCAAGGCGGUGACGGGUAGCCGGCCUGAGAGGGUGGACGGUCACACUGGGACUGAGACACGGCCCAGACUCAUACGGGACGCAGCAGUGGGGAAUAGUGCACAAUGGGCGAAAGCCUGAUGCAGCGACGCCGCGUGAGGGAUGGAGGCCUUCGGGUUGUGAACCUCUUUCGCCAGUGAAGCAGGCCUGCCUCGUUUGUGGGUGGGUUGACGGUAGCUGGAUAAGAAGCGCCGGCUAACUACGUG
rnacentral:rRNA from 1 species